UAGAGAUUGGUUUUAGAUACAUCCAAAACCAUUUUCAUUAGCGCUAAAAUUGGUGAAUUGAUUUGCAUUUUCCUGCAGGGUUGGUUUUUGACGCAUCCAAAACCAUUCUGAUGAGCUAUACAUUGGCAAAUUUGUCUAGGGAUUGGUUUUGGACGCAUCUAAAACCAUUUCCAAAGCACUAAAAUCGGCUGAUUUGUUUUCAUUUGUCUGGGGAUUUUUUGCUAAAAUCAGCGAAUUGGUUUGCAUUUCUCCAGGAUAGUUUUGGACAUAUUGGUCAAUUGAUUUGCAUUUUCUCGCAGGGUUGGUUUUGGACGCAUCCGAAACCAUUCUCAUGAGCUAUAAAUUAGCUAAUUUGUUUGCAUUUGUCUAAGCAUUGGUUUUGGAUGCAUCCAAAACCAUUUUCAUUAGCGCUAAAAUUGGUGAAUUGAAUUGCAUGUUCCUGCAGGGUUGGUUUUUGACGCAUCCAAACCCAUUCUGAUGAGCUAUACAUUGGCAAAUUUGUCUAGGGAUUGGUUUUGGACGCAUCUAAAACCAUUUUCAAAAGCACUAAAAUCGGCUGAUUUGUUUUCAUUUGUCUGGGGAUUUUUUGCUAAAAUCAGCGAAUUGGUUUGCAUUUCUCCAGGAUAGUUUUGGACAUAUUGGUCAAUUGAUUUGCAUUUUCUCGCAGGGUUGGUUUUGGACGCGUCCGAAACCAUUCUCAUGAGCUAUAAAUUGGCUAAUUUGUUUGCAUUUGUCUAGAGAUUGGUUUAGAUGCAUCCAAAACCAUUUUCAUUAGCGCUAAAAUUGGUGAAUUGAUUUGCAUUUUCCUGCAGGGUUGGUUUUGGACGCAUCCAAAACCAUUCUGAUGAGCUAUACAUUGGCAAAUUUGUCUAGGGAUUGGUUUUGGACGCAUCUAAAACCAUUUUCAAAAGCACUAAAAUCGGCUGAUUUGUUUUCAUUUGUCUGGGGAUUUUUUGCUAAAAUCAGCGAAUUGGUUUGCAUUUCUCCAGGAUAGUUUUGGACAUAUUGGUCAAUUGAUUUGCAUUUUCUCGCAGGGUUGGUUUUGGACGCGUCCGAAACCAUUCUCAUGAGCUAUAAAUUGGCUAAUUUGUCUAGAGAUUGGUUUUAGAUGCAUCCAAAACCAUUUUCACUAGCGCUAAAAUCGGUAAAUUGGUGAAUUGAUUUGCAUUUUCCGCAGGGUUGGUUUUGGACGCGUCCAAAACCAUUCUCAUGAGCUAUAAAUUGGUCAAUUUGUUUGCACUUGUUUAGAGAUUGAUUUUGGAUGCAUCUAAAACCAUUUCCAAACGCACCAAAAUCGGCUGAUUUGUUUUCAUUUGUCUGGAGAUUUUUUGCUAAAAUCAGCGAAUUGGUUUGCAUUUCUCUAGGAUAGUUUUGGACAUAUCGGCAAAUUGAUUUGCAUUUUCCUACAGGGUUGGUAUUGGACGCGUCCAAAACCAUUCUCAUGAGCUAUAAAUUGCCUAAUUUGUUUGCAUUUGUCUAGGGAUUGGUUUUGGAUGUAUCCAAAACCAUUUUCCUUGGCGCUAAAAUCGGUAAAUUGAUUUGCAUUUUCCUAUAGGUUUGGUUUUGGACGCAUCCAAAACCAUUCUCAUGAGCUAUGAAUUGCCUAAUUUGUUUGCAUUUGUCUAGGGAUUGGUUUUGGAUGCAUCCAAAACCAUUUUCAUUAGCGCUAAAAUCGGUAAAUUGAUUUCCAUUUCCCUUAGCUGAUGCUAUCUUAACCAAAACUAUUGUAAAUUAUAGCAUAUUCGUACCAUAGAUUCCUUGUAUAUUAUUGCCUUUAUUGUAUAUAAUGUAUCUUAAUAAAGUGGGUAAAUAAAGGUUUUUUAAUCUGUUGUCAAG
rnacentral:lncRNA from 1 species